rnacentral:lncRNA from 1 species
GCUACUUUCCCUUGCCCUAUGACUAAAUAACACAGUUCUUCUCUAGCUCUUUUGUAGGUCAUCUUAAGGAACUGGAAGGAGCUCCAAGGUCUCCCUGCAGCCUUCUCUUUCCCAGGCUGAACAGACCCAGCUCUCCCAGGCUGUUUUCACAGGAUGGAGCUCUAGCCCUUUGAUCAUCUCUCUGGCCUCCUCUGGGCUCACUGGGAAGAAUGCUGGAGGCACCAUUUAGUUCAACACAGGAGAGAAAUUAAUUUUCUGAGAAGAAUUAAAAUAAUCUAGAUGACAAAAUCUGGAUGUAAGCCUCAAACAAUAAAGAGAGGUCACCUGGGAAAAUGAUCA